rnacentral:rRNA from 1 species
CAGGCCUAACACAUGCAAGUCGAGCGGUAAGGCCUUUCGGGGUACACGAGCGGCGAACGGGUGAGUAACACGUGGGUGAUCUGCCCUGCACUUCGGGAUAAGCCUGGGAAACUGGGUCUAAUACCGGAUAUGACCUCCUAUCGCAUGGUGGGUGGUGGAAAGAUUUAUCGGUGCAGGAUGGGCCCGCGGCCUAUCAGCUUGUUGGUGGGGUAAUGGCCUACCAAGGCGACGACGGGUAGCCGACCUGAGAGGGUGACCGGCCACACUGGGACUGAGACACGGCCCAGACUCCUACGGGAGGCAGCAGUGGGGAAUAUUGCACAAUGGGCGAAAGCCUGAUGCAGCGACGCCGCGUGAGGGAUGACGGCCUUCGGGUUGUAAACCUCUCUCAGCAGGGACGAAGCGCAAGUGACGGUACCUGCAGAAGAAGCACCGGCUAACUACGUGCCAGCAGCCGCGGUAAUACGUAGGGUGCAAGCGUUGUCCGGAAUUACUGGGCGUAAAGAGUUCGUAGGCGGUUUGUCGCGUCGUUUGUGAAAACCAGCAGCUCAACUGCUGGCUUGCAGGCGAUACGGGCAGACUUGAGUACUGCAGGGGAGACUGGAAUUCCUGGUGUAGCGGUGAAAUGCGCAGAUAUCAGGAGGAACACCGGUGGCGAAGGCGGGUCUCUGGGCAGUAACUGACGCUGAGGAACGAAAGCGUGGGUAGCGAACAGGAUUAGAUACCCUGGUAGUCCACGCCGUAAACGGU